GUGAACGCCUCCUUGUCUCCUCCUAUUUAAAAACUCUUUUCAUUUUCUCUCUCUGCUUUUCAUUUUCUCCUCCUAUGUUCUAACACCAACAUCACCCUCGAAUUAACCACGACGGUAGUAACAGGAAUCCUCGACAGGGUAGCACCGUCGUGAGCGCCCAUAACUCAGAGAAAAAUCCUAACCUUACCCAUUAAAAACCCAAAUCUAACCAUGUAGUUUCCAAAUCAAAAACAAAGGUCCAAAGAACCGAAGCAACAACAAAACAACAGAACAACAGAAAUCUCAUGUAAUAAUCAUGGGGGUUAUGGUAUAUGAGGCGAUACAUACAAGGUGGUAGCAUCAAAUCAAACAGAGGGAAAGUUUAAAUACCAAAUCGGAGCUAGUCCGACGUUCGACUCCGGUCAAGGCGAGAGUAAGGGCGCUGGAAAAAGUUUUUUUCAUCCUAAUGAUGGACGGUCUUUAUAUAGAGUUUUGGAGGUACGAGGUUUCUCACUCCUGAGCUGGCGGAAAUUCCAAAUAAUUCCGUUAGAAUCAAAUCCCCUCUAGAUUUUGGUGUGGUCCCAGGAAUGAAGGUGGUGAGAUUUGUUUCUGUUUUGUCCGUAGUGAAAUCUUCAAAAUCAAGUAUCCUGUGUUGAGUUUCUCAUUUACCGCCAUGAAAGAUCUACGUGUCGUGGUAAGAGUACUUUUUCACUUUUGUCUUGUUUUGCUCAUAGAAUCGAAGAUUUUUAACCAUGGUUGUAAUUUGGUAAAUCUUCUGUUGUAGCAGGUAAUCUCAAGGCUAGCUUCACAUCCAUGUAUCGCUUCGACGUCUAUGACGGUAAGCGUCCUGCAGCAAGUUAGGUGUACCUUAGUUUGAAGUGUCGUAACGUUGGUCCUCCUUACUUUGGGAAUCGACACGGAAUGCUUUCUUUUGGACAUGGUGAUGGAAUUAUUUUAUGUGUUAUCAUUUUGUUUCCUCAACAUAACUCAUGACUAUUUGAUACACAAACUGGUUUUUUAUACUGAUAUGACAAAGUUGCUUUCAGUAUGCAACUCACAGUUUUAUUGGAGGAAGAUUCUCCAACAGGUGCAUUGAAUCAUGACUAUGUUGGUUUAAUAUUGAUGCGGGAAGUUUGUUGUGCCUUUUGUCGUUCUGCUGAUGUUUCAGGUCUAACAGGUUUUGCCGUCAUUCCAAAUUUGGUUCAGCGGCGUUGAUGCUUAGAGAUUUGUGUGAAAAUUUGGUUGAGACUUUGGCUUGAUUAGUAUUUGGUCAAACAUCCAUGUUUUCUCGAAUUGCAUUGUCUUAUGUAGCUUGCUCUAGUU